CACGUAGGGCGCGAGCGUUGUCCGGAAUUAUUGGGCGUAAAGAGCUCGUAGGCGGCCUGUUGCGUCCGCUGUGAAAGCCCGGGGCUUAACCCCCGGGUCGGCAGUGGAUACGGGCAGGCUAGAGGUAGGUAGGGGGGAAUGGAAUUCCCGGUGUAGCGGUGAAAUGCGCAGAUAUCGGGAGGAACACCGGUGGCGAAGGCGGUUCUCUGGGCCUUACCUGACGCUGAGGAGCGAAAGCGUGGGGAGCGAAACAGGAUUGAGAAACCCC
rnacentral:rRNA from 1 species